rnacentral:rRNA from 1 species
GAUGAACGCUAGCGAUAGGCUUAACACAUGCAAGUCGAGGGGUCCAGAGUAGCAAUACUCUGGACGACCGGCGCACGGGUGAGUAACACGUAUGCAACCUACUCGUAACAGGGGGAUAGCCCGAAGAAAUUCGGAUUAAUACCGCAUAAUACAGGAAUACUGCAUGGUAAUUCUGUUAAAAAAUUUAUUUGGUUACGAAUGGGCAUGCGCAGGAUUAGUUAGUUGGUAAGGUAACGGCUUACCAAGACGAUGAUCCUUAGGGGUUCUGAGAGGAAGACCCCCCACACUGGUACUGAGACACGGACCAGACUCCUACGGGAGGCAGCAGUGAGGAAUAUUGGUCAAUGGUCGAAAGACUGAACCAGCCAAGUCGCGUGAAGGAAGACAGUAUUAUGUAUUGUAAACUUCUUUUGUAAGGGAAUAAAGUGCGUCACGUGUGACGUUUUGUAUGUACCUUACGAAUAAGCAUCGGCUAACUCCGUGCCAGCAGCCGCGGUAAUACGGGGGAUGCGAGCGUUAUCCGGAUUUAUUGGGUUUAAAGGGUGCGUAGGUGGUCUGAAAAGUCAGCGGUGAAAUGUCAUUGCUUAACAGUGAAACGGCCGUUGAAACUCUCAGGCUUGAGAAUGGACGGGGCAUGCGGAAUUCGUAGUGUAGCGGUGAAAUGCAUAGAUAUUACGAGGAACUCCGAUAGCGUAGGCAGCAUGCCAGACCAUAUCUGACACUGAGGCACGAAGGUGUGGGUAUCAAACAGGAUUAGAUACCCUGGUAGUCCACACAGUAAACGAUGAAUACUGACUGUUUGCGAUAUAAUGUAAGUGGUUAAGCGAAAGCGUUAAGUAUUCCACCUGGGGAGUACGCCGGCAACGGUGAAACUCAAAGGAAUUGACGGGGGCCCGCACAAGCGGAGGAACAUGUGGUUUAAUUCGAUAAUACGCGAGGAACCUUACCCGGGCUCGAACGGCUGAUGAAUAUCUGCGAAAGUGGAUAGUCCGCAAGGACAGCAGUCGAGGUGCUGCAUGGUUGUCGUCAGCUCGUGCCGUGAGGUGUCGGCUUAAGUGCCAUAACGAGCGCAACCCUUGCUGUUAGUUACUAACAAGUUAAGUUGAGGACUCUAACAGGACUGCCAUCGUAAGAUGCGAGGAAGGUGAGGAUGACGUCAAAUCAGCACGGCCCUUACGUCCGGGGCGACACACGUGUUACAAUGGGUGGGACAAAGGGUAGCUACGCAGCAAUGCGAUGCAAAUCUCUAAAUCCACUCUCAGUUCGGAUUGGAGUCUGCAACUCGACUCUAUGAAGCUGGAUUCGCUAGUAAUCGCGCAUCAGCCACGGCGCGGUGAAUACGUUCCCGGGCCUU